rnacentral:rRNA from 1 species
ACCGGGAGAUAGCUGGUUCUCCCCGAAAGCUAUUUAGGUAGCGCCUCGUGAAUUCAUCUCCGGGGGUAGAGCACUGUUUCGGCAAGGGGGUCAUCCCGACUUACCAACCCGAUGCAAACUGCGAAUACCGGAGAAUGUUAUCACGGGAGACACACGGCGGGUGCUAACGUCCGUCGUGAAGAGGGAAACAACCCAGACCGCCAGCUAAGGUCCCAAAGUCAUGGUUAAGUGGGAAACGAUGUGGGAAGGCCCAGACAGCCAGGAUGUUGGCUUAGAAGCAGCCAUCAUUUAAAGAAAGCGUAAUAGCUCACUGGUCGAGUCGGCCUGCGCGGAAGAUGUAACGGGGCUAAACCAUGCACCGAAGCUGCGGCAGCGACACUAUGUGUUGUUGGGUAGGGGAGCGUUCUGUAAGCCUGUGAAGGUGGCCUGUGAGGGUUGCUGGAGGUAUCAGAAGUGCGAAUGCUGACAUAAGUAACGAUAAAGCGGGUGAAAAGCCCGCUCGCCGGAAGACCAAGGGUUCCUGUCCAACGUUAAUCGGGGCAGGGUGAGUCGACCCCUAAGGCGAGGCCGAAAGGCGUAGUCGAUGGGAAACAGGUUAAUAUUCCUGUACUUGGUGUUACUGCGAAGGGGGGACGGAGAAGGCUAUGUUGGCCGGGCGACGGUUGUCCCGGUUUAAGCGUGUAGGCUGGUUUUCCAGGCAAAUCCGGAAAACCAAGGCUGAGGCGUGAUGACGAGGCACUACGGUGCUGAAGCGACAAAUGCCCUGCUUCCAGGAAAAGCCUCUAAGCAUCAGGUAACAUCAAAUCGUACCCCAAACCGACACAGGUGGUCAGGUAGAGAAUACCAAGGCGCUUGAGAGAACUCGGGUGAAGGAACUAGGCAAAAUGGUGCCGUAACUUCGGGAGAAGGCACGCUGAUAUGUAGGUGAAGCGACUUGCUCGUGGAGCUGAAAUCAGUCGAAGAUACCAGCUGGCUGCAACUGUUUAUUAAAAACACAGCACUGUGCAAACACGAAAGUGGACGUAUACGGUGUGACGCCUGCCCGGUGCCGGAAGGUUAAUUGAUGGGGUUAGCGGCAACGCGAAGCUCUUGAUCGAAGCCCCGGUAAACGGCGGCCGUAACUAUAACGGUCCUAAGGUAGCGAAAUUCCUUGUCGGGUAAGUUCCGACCUGCACGAAUGGCGUAAUGAUGGCCAGGCUGUCUCCACCCGAGACUCAGUGAAAUUGAACUCGCUGUGAAGAUGCAGUGUACCCGCGGCAAGACGGAAAGACCCCGUGAACCUUUACUAUAGCUUGACACUGAACAUUGAGCCUUGAUGUGUAGGAUAGGUGGGAGGCUUUGAAGUGUGGACGCCAGUCUGCAUGGAGCCGACCUUGAAAUACCACCCUUUAAUGUUUGAUGUUCUAACGUUGGCCCGUAAUCCGGGUUGCGGACAGUGUCUGGUGGGUAGUUUGACUGGGGCGGUCUCCUCCUAAAGAGUAACGGAGGAGCACGAAGGUUGGCUAAUCCUGGUCGGACAUCAGGAGGUUAGUGCAAUGGCAUAAGCCAGCUUGACUGCGAGCGUGACGGCGCGAGCAGGUGCGAAAGCAGGUCAUAGUGAUCCGGUGGUUCUGAAUGGAAGGGCCAUCGCUCAACGGAUAAAAGGUACUCCGGGGAUAACAGGCUGAUACCGCCCAAGAGUUCAUAUCGACGGCGGUGUUUGGCACCUCGAUGUCGGCUCAUCACAUCCUGGGGCUGAAGUAGGUCCCAAGGGUAUGGCUGUUCGCCAUUUAAAGUGGUACGCGAGCUGGGUUUAGAACGUCGUGAGACAGUUCGGUCCCUAUCUGCCGUGGGCGCUGGAGAACUGAGGGGGGCUGCUCCUAGUACGAGAGGACCGGAGUGGACGCAUCACUGGUGUUCGGGUUGUCAUGCCAAUGGCACUGCCCGGUAGCUAAAUGCGGAAGAGAUAAGUGCUGAAAGCAUCUAAGCACGAAACUUGCCCCGAGAUGAGUUCUCCCUGAGACUUAGAGUCUCCUGAAGGAACGUUGAAGACGACGACGUUGAUAGGCCGGGUGUGUAAGCGCAGCGAUGCGUUGAGCUAACCGGUACUAAUGAACCGUGAGGCUUAACCUUACAACGCCGAAG